rnacentral:rRNA from 1 species
CCCUUAGAUGUCCUGGGCCGCACGCGCGCUACACUGAUUCAUGCAACAAGUUUUGUCCUUGGCUGAUAGGCCUGGGUAAUCUUUGAACGUGAAUCGUGAUGGGGAUAGAUGAUUGCAAUUAUUCAUCUUCAACGAGGAAUUCCUAGUAAACGCAAGUCAUCAGCUUGCAUUGAUUACGUCCCUGCCCUUUGUACACACCGCCCGUCGCACCUACCGAUUGAAUGGUCCGGUGAAAUCUUCGGAUCUGAGAGAUGUCUGAUUAAUUUCGGACGCCUUUUGGAAAAGUUGUUUAAACCUUACCAUUUAGAGGAAGGUGAAGUCGUAACA